rnacentral:lncRNA from 1 species
GAAGCCUUCAGUCUCUAUGCACGCAGCAUGCCUUCCCAGCCUCCUGUGGUUGUAGAGUGUAUAGAAGGCAGUUGGAUCACUAUGGACAGCGGGUAAGAGCUGAGGAAGCAGCCUCCGCCAGGUGGUAACAUGGAGGACCCUGAAGACCAUUGGCCAUUCUCUGACCAUCUCAAGCCAGAGGUGACUUGAUCUGUCACCCAGCUGUGGCCCAUGAGCAUUAUCUAAGGAGGAACAUUUUUGCUUACGUUUCCAGUGCUCUACAUAAGCCCUAGGCCCUGGGAGGCACUGAAAUGCUCAAUGGGAGCUCCAUGUGUGCAGGCUUAUGGACUGAAAUACUACUUUCAUGGCUCUGGCUAUGAACAUCAGCAUAUAGAGAAUGGAUCACUACCAAAGAAGGCACCCGAAUGUGUCUGUCUCAUCCUGGGGAAACUCAUUCAUCUGUAUAUGUACUCAGCAAGUGUUUCCUGGCACCUGCUCUGGGUCACAGUGCUGGGCACUGGAAGCUGAGAGAUGUGGAAGAAGGCUGGACAUUCAAGGUUACACCUGCCUAGGUACUGAGUGCAUUUCCACAGUAGCCCACACUGCAGCAUCAACAGAGAACCUCAGGAUGGGAGGCAAAAAGUGCAUGGCAUAGGCUCAGGAUCAAUAAUGAUAAUUGGGAACAGAACCUAGCUGAGGAACAUGGACAGAAGGUGGUCAGAUGUUGAUGCUGAACUCUUUGAAGUCCAUUUCCUGGAAAGUUCUUUGGUAAGACACAAGCUCACUUCCCUGCCUCCAGCCAUGCAGAUACUCAAGCAGGCUGUGGACUUCUGUUUGUGCCAGACAUGUGCUGGAUUCUGUGGUGGGGAGAACAGGAGCAGGUGGGAUCGAAGGACAAGAUGCAGCCUGAUAGGAGGCCCUGAACCAAAGGUCAAGAGUCAUGCCUUCCCUUGAAUUGGAACAAGCUCUUUUUCUGCAUCAACUACCCUCUCAUUGUGGAGCCCUAGGCACAAUAUUCUCCAAUUUGGGCUUCAGUUUUCUUAUCUACAAAAGGAGGGUACCGGGCUGGGUUGUCGUUUCCCACGCUAUGUUCUCAGUGGCACAUGAGAUGCCAGUUCUCCACACUUACAUGGUGCCAGAGGCUACCAAUUGCUGGGAACCUCCUUUGUUCAAGACAUGUGCUGAGUACACUUUGCUCCUGAUCUCAUUCAAUGGUUACAGAAAGCUUCUGAGAGUUCUGCUAUCAUUUCUAUUCUACAGAUGAGAAGCCCGAGGCUGGUAAACUAGAGUCCAAGGGCAGAAAGCUGGUAAGUAACACAAGUAGGAUUCUUCAAACUCAAGUCUGCCUAACCUCAGAGACUUAAACACUUUAACGCUAUGCUAGACUGCUGUGUCAGAGUUUUGGAAGGUUACUCAUGAAGUAAUUGGGCAGUGUUUCCCAGUCUUCAAAAACCCACUGCCCUUUUGGUUAGAUGUGGAAAUCUCACACUUCCCCCCCAGCGAUUCUGGUAUCUCCCCCAAAGUGGAAUGCUAACUUGGUGAGAAUCACUGGGCCAAAACAUCUCUAAAGUCCAUUUAAAAUCUAAUAACUCAAUGAGAGAGUUUGUAUAAAGCACACAGUCCUUGACACAUAGCAGGUCCUCAAUCUCCGGCAGCUUUAGUAGUCCAUGGCUGCCUGCCUCCGUAGCAUCUAUUUCCCCCUUCCUUCUUUACAGAGGGAUCCCAAAUCUCCCAUUUGUCCAUGUAGGUUGGAUUUAACCACUUCCAGCUCAGGGGUGGGCCCUGAUUGGCUGAACACUAAUGACAUGAUCUCUCGCACCUGCACAUCACAUUCUUCCAGCCACAGUUCUCAGGGAUGUCCAUGUGACCCAAAUUGGUCCAGUUAGAGAAAAAUCCCAGGACUUUGUUCAAAAGCUCCUAUUUUUAAUAGCUUUGAUUAUUAUAUAUCACCAGGUAUAUAAUAAAAACUCCGAAGGAAAGAUCUGGAAAACAUUUGUGACAUCAUUUUUGCCCGAAUGGGAGAUCACAAAACCAUGAGGAAAUAAUAUGUGUCCUACAAGUUGGAUAGGAAGGAAUGACAUAGGAAAGGUCUUUCCCCUCAUCCCUCUAUGUCUCUGCCUCUGCCCUCUCGCCCUCCUUACAGCUGAGCCAACCUAAAUGUGCAGUCCCAUCUCUCCCAAAGAUCCCAGGCCAGCCGGAGCUGAAUGCAAGAACUAUUUAAGAAGCCUCAGCUCCUCUUCACUCCCAGGUGUGAGGGGUUAGGGGUGGGGAGUAAUGAUCACUCUUAUCACUCUCAGAUCACCUUCCAGUGUGACUCAGGGACCCAGAGCUGACCCAGAGCCCUUGAAAUGUUACCAGAGUCACAGUUUAUUUCCUCUCGAGACCCCAAGGUCCCUGACACCACCACCACAAUGUACAACUGACCUUUAGCUUUCAGCCCUCUUGAAAUAAAUUCCCAGGGAUUUUUCCAGUUCCCCAGAGCCUGAGGGGACUCAGGCUGGGCCUUGCCUCAGACCCUAACCCUGAACUGUACCAGGCACCUGCUGCGUAUGGACUGACCUCCCUGCUGAUGGAGGAUGCCUGCUUGGAUAUCAGCAAACCUUGCCCACUGUUCCUGGGACAACCCCGAGGCUUGAACCAGGACUGGACACUGCUAUGCCCUCUGUUGCUGUAUUUUCUACCCUCCCCCAUCUCUGAACCACUACCACCCAGUGUUUCUAUAUUUCUCACACCUAUGGUCCUGGACUCCCCUGCCCCACCUCUGGCCCUGCAAUAUCUCACUAUAGAUAAAUGAGCAUGUGUCCCCACGGUGGUGGGUGAUGGUGACAGGUAUAACCUGCCGAGGACACACUGAGAUAGGGGUGUGUUCAGGUAUCCCCAGGCGAGAACAUGGGCUGGUACAGGAGGGAGAAACACUUUGAAAGAAGGUGAUGGAUGCUGGUUCGAGGAGCUGGGUUGGGCCGCGUGGGAGCUGGUCUAAGCUGGCAGCAAUUUUCCUGUUUCCCUGGCUUUAAGACCGACAAGCUUGAAACAGGGCCUGGCACAGUGGCUGGUCAGCUCGAGUGCUUUAUUUUUAUUUCUUAUUCUCAAUCAACAAUUGUACUGCUUUUAUUAGCAAUCAGUGCUCUGACAGGAGUGCUGACGGCAAGAGACUCGGUGGUGAAUCGAAGUGGUUGGCUCUCAGGCAGAGAGUUGGCUGAAAGGAGGAGGAGGAGGACUGUUAUUCUAACAGGCUGAAGGGAGCAGAUCCUGUGGGGCUGCCAGGUCAGGAAGCUCUGCAGGGCCCUAGGCAAGCAGGGUGGGGCUAGACGGGCUGCCUUAGCAUCCACAGCCCGUUUUCCCCGAACCCUGUCCCAGCCCCCUGAGUCUCUGGCAGUCAUGGCCUUAAUGGGGACUCAGUUUCCUCCAAAGUCUGCAGCAGGGUGAUAUUUCUAGAAUGAUUCCUUGUUCCUUCUGCCUAGGAAGGAUGAAGGCGAAUGGACACAUUUUGAUCAGAGACCACAAAAUCCUGCGAAGGCAUCAGAAAUGGAAGAGCUCCAGGGUGAAAAGAGCACGCUUCCAUUUGGGAGCUUGGGGCCUAGAUUAUGGCCCAGUCCUCAGUGGCUCCAUUCGCUUUUCUUUUCUUUUUGGUAGCCACAAAAAGGUUCUAAGUCUUGUUACAGCUGGAGAACCAACCACUUGGGGAUCUGAGCAGAAACUCAAAUUCUUGCUUUUCAGUAGAGCCAUUAAAAAGAAGGAGCCUGGGCUCAGGCCCACCUCUGUCUGCAUCCUGGCUCUGCCCCUCAUUAGCUGCGUGACCUUGCACAGAUGACUUAACUUCUCUGACCCUGGGCCCCUUUAUUAGGAAUGUGGAGGGUUAAGUAAGAGCCAGGAGGCAAGUUGGCAGAAGGGCCCUGGGCAGUCACGUUCAAAGACUGGCAGAAGUUCAGAGCCCCAUUCUGCCACCUAGUGGUGGUAUGUCCUUGGGCAAGUCGCUAAGUUACAACCUCUGGGCCUCCGUUUCUUCACCUGCAAAAUGGAGCUGAUGACUACCGAAACUUCCUCCUUGGGUCCUUGUGAGGGCUAAAUGUCUGUGAAACACUUAGAAUAGUGGCUGGCUUAUAGCAAGCCCUGUCUGAGGUCAGCUAGGUUAGUAAUCUAACAUCAUGCUUAGUAUCCUAGGAGAUUCGGUAGGUGUGACAGCAGCUGUGACAUCAUUAACUAGGAGGUUAUCUGGGCUCUGCAUCAGAAAGGGAGUGGCCAGCUGUCCUCAUCACAAUGUCUAGUAGCAAUAAAGGUUUUCCUCCCGCUGCCCUGGAGUCCUCCAUCACUGACUGUUAGAAAUGGGGUCUUGUUGGAUAAGUUGGAUAGGACACGCGUUUCCAGCACUCUCUAUGAAAUGCCACGCUGCUACAAACCCCCCAUAGCACCCACUCGGCGGCAUUUACCCCACUCUCCUGUCACAGCCCAUUUACUUGUCUGUCUCUCUUACUGGCCUGUGGGCAACUCGAGGGCAACAUCUGUCUCAGUCACUGUGGAGAGAUGGCAAAGUGUCGUGGUGAAGUGAGACAGCCAGGCCCCAGUCCUUGCUCUGCCACUUACCAGCUGUGUGGGAGCUGGUCUAUGUGUCCUAACCUUCCUUUGAAGGUGCUUCUCCAAAUUUCACUACGUCCACACAGUCACUUGGGAAUCUUGCAGUGAUUCUGAUUCAGUAGGUCUGGGGUUGAUCUGCAUCUCCAACAAGAUCCCAUUUCUAACAGUAGGUGAUGGAGGGCUCCACGGUUGGGGGCAGCAAAUCUUUUUUUUUUUUUUUUUGCCACCAGAUAUUAUGAUGACAGCUGGCCACUUGCUGUGCCUCAGUUUCUUCAUGCAUAAAAAGUGCAAAAUAAUAGUGUCUAUCUCACAGGGUUGUUGUAAAUAUUGAAGGAUUAAAUGAGCGCCAGGCAGGUGCUGAGCAUUCAAUCAGAGUUGGCGCCUUCUAUUGUUGUGCUAUUGUUGUGUUGCUGUUGUCAUUGUAUCUCUAGUACCCAGCCCAGUGCCAGGCACCCAGUAGACACUCCACAAACAUUUAUUGAAUAAAUAAAUGACCUCAGCUGGGUGCACAUCAAUGUUUUUCACACCCUUGACAUUGGCAAGGCUUUUUCCGAUAUCGAACACUGAACUCUGUUUCUGUUGUGUGACUUGAAUUCCCUGGGGAAGAUGAGCGAUUGGGAGCAGACUCUCAAUGUCCUCUGAAAAAUAACCUGCCGAAUGGAGAAGGCCACGUUGACCUCCAUCUUUGGGGCCAGGUCAAGGAAGAAACAGGACUUUAAAAAAAUAUGGUGAUUAUGGUUUAGGGAGGCAGACCUUUAGAGUCAAGUAAGUACAAUCUGGGUAAAACAAAUGUUGUUCAUUUGUAUGUAAGGGGCAACGUUUCCAUCCAGCAGGAAGAUGUCCUCUUGCUCUUGAACGAGACAUUGUGCUUUCAAAAUUUUAUUCUUUUUCAUCCAGGGACAAUGGCUGGAGGAAGAAAUGAGAGGAUCUCUAUACCCAGGCCUUGGCUUCUAUGUCCCUUCUCGAAGUGGUUGAAGUGCAGAUUUCUGAUUCUGUACCCAGCCUCCAGGGACACAGUACACAGUAUGCUGGGAAUGGCGGUGGGUGUUUGAGGUACAUUACUUCCAGACAAAACAUGGCUGCAGAGGGAUACCAAAAGCAUCUUCUGGUGGCUGAAGCCCUGUCUGCACAAGUGUCUGUGUUCUUCAAUGGUUCAGGCAAGCUCAGACAGACCCUCUGCUUCUCUUAACCUGAGACACUAGUUUCCCCAAGAACUUUGAGCUGAAGGUUCCUUGCUGUGUCCCCUACCUGGCUGUGAGGACUUUGAGUAUAAUUAUCCUAUCUUAUUUGUUGCUGUGCUCCCAGUGUCUUGGAUGGAGCCUGACAUCUAGUCAGUGUUAGUAAAUGUUGAUGUGUAUUGAAUUUUGCAAGGAUCUGCAGCCCUGAGAAGAGGGGAUACUUCUUGGAAACCUCUGUGGGCUAAAUUGAGGGUUAAGGACUGGGACUGGAAGGCAGAGAUUCCAGAGUGAUAACCACAGUAGUUACUAUUUCAUGAGAGCCUCCAUGUGCCAGCCUCUAAGCUAGGCCCAUACCAUGCAUUACCUCUUGUCCCCACUUUACAGAAACUAAGGCUUAGACAAGUUAAGCAACUUGCUAAAGAUCAAACAACUCAAUAUGUGUUGGAGUCAAAUGAACGCAUUUCUUUUCCAUUUCCCUCAUUUACUCCACUAAUGACAGUACUUAAAUUGUAGACUAGGAAUUAAAAUAGCAGAAGCCUGACUUGAGAGGGCAGAGCCCCUGCGUUUGAGUGCCUGAAAGUCAGUCAUGGGUAGAAAGAACAGUCUUGUAGCAGAGCUCUGGGCAAGGGAGGAGCCGUGAGCAGGUGGACAUGAACUCACUGUGACAACUCUCCAACAGUGAAAGCAGGUUCCCAUGGAAUCCAGGGAAAUUACUGAAUAACUUUCAACACAAAAAUGUGUGCUAGUGAGCUGUAGAGCCUUUAUAUCCCCCCAAAACAUAUUAUGGGGGUGGGGGGGGGGCGCGGAAUUCUGAAUUUUUGUUGUUGUUGUUGUUGUUGAGACAGAGUUUUGCUGUUGUUGCCCAGGCUGGAGUGCAAUGGCACAAUCUUGGCUCUCCACAACCUCCGCCUCCUGGAUUCAAGCGAUUCUCCUGCCCCAGCCUCCAGAGUAGGGGCUGGGAUUGUAGACAUGCGCCACCACGCCUGGCUAAUUUUGUAUUUUUAGUAGAGAUAGGGUUUCUGCAUGUUGAUCAGGCUGGUCUCGAACUCCUGACCUCAGGUGAUCCACCCGCCUUGGCCUCCCAAAGUGCUGGGAUUACAGGUGUGUGCCACGGCGCCCGGCCUAAGUAAAUAGUUUGGAAAGCUGCAUCCAAUAGUCUCUUUUGAAGAUUCACAAUGCACCCUAGCUUGUUAACUAUUCCAAGAAGUCCCCGGAAAAGAAUGCUUGUUUGACUUUCUUGAAUCCAGUGUUGCCCAUGUUUAUUUGACUAGUGAGCAGGUUUUUUUGUUUGUUUGUUUGUUUUUUAAGUGACACUUUUUAACACUCUGAGGCAGUAAUAUUGUACUGAACACAUGGGGAAUCUUCUGUGGAAGUUUGGCCUGGAAUACAUCCUCUGUGUUCCUUCUCGCCCCGUGGCUGAGUGAGUGUGCUGUAAAAGCUUAGUGACAGAAAAGCCCCACUUAGCCUAUUUGUGAUGAUUUCCUAAACCGGGCAAAUAACUCAUCUGAAUGGCUGAGGUGAUAAACUCACAGGAGGAGAAGAUGCUGGAGGAAGUGUCAUGUGUCCUGCAUGUAGGUACCACUUCACCUCCCAGCAAGGCGAUGCUGAUAGCAACGUUUUCCUUGGGUGUUGAAUUUUCCAUCCUGCAAUUACGUCUUAAGCCAUAGAUAAAAUUCACAUCCACGUUUCACUCAAGAUAAACCUAACAUCAUAAUAAUACAGAAGAUUAAUUCAUUGGGGAAAAAUAGAAGAAAAUUGGUCUUGGCUUAAAGAGAAGUCAACAUUUAGAAUGUGUAGAAGGGGAUUUCUUCUGGAUCACACUCUGUCCUCAACAGUGGCAUGUGAAAAUGUAUGUGGUUCGCUUUAGUGCAUGCAUGUUUGUGCCUGUCCCACUGACACAUCCACAGUGUGACCCAUAGAGGUCCACUUCUAAGACCCCUAACUCUGAGUCCAACCCACCCUUUUGGGCUCACUGCAGUCAUUUCUCUCUGAAGUCUUCCUUGACAACCUAGGCAUCAUCAGUUUUUCUCUUCUCUGAUCAUCUUAGCAAGUGUAUCCAUAAGCUAUAAUCACAAUCAUGCUGCAUAACAAAACCAAAAACUCAAUGGCCAAUAACAAUGAACAUUUAUUUUUUGUUUUCAUGUCUAGAGGCCAGGUGGGGGGUGGCUGAUCUAAGCUGGGUUUUGCUCUAGGUUAGAUUUAGUCUAGGUUGGCCUCACAUGUCUCUCAUUCUUCAGGUGUCAGGAGGCCACCAUGGGCCUGAUCUUCAGGACAGAUGCCUCUUAAGACUUGGGCUUUGACUCAUACACUGUUACUGCCACCCAUGUCCUGUUGGCCAAAGUCAAUUUCAUUACCAAGCCCAAGAUCUGUGGAGUGGAGAAAUGCAUUUUGAAGGGGAGGGAGUCAAUCUGUAAUGAGCACCAUGAUGUACCAUAGAGCAUUUGUAGUCAUGAGCCUGAUUUAGACACUUGGUGGGGUAUCUCUGUGCUCUUAGGAAUUGUGUCUCUGUGUCUGUCAGAGGUGAUAACAUUGGAGCUGAGCCUUAAAAAAUAAAAGUUUCCUCAAACACCUCUGUGACUUCUGUGAUGCCUUCUGUUCACCACCCACAGUAGCACUGAAGGAAGAAAAGUAGUAACAUGUGAAGUGCAUAGGCAGCCCAGGGAGUCAUGCAUCCUAGUUCUGCAAGGAGGGUGCCCCUAGCCAGCCCUUGAUUGCCUCCCAGUUUUGGAGUUUGUAAGAGUCACAAAUAAUCACACUUCCCUCUCCUCAAAGUUCUGAACCAACUAAAAAUUAUACAUGGGAAUUUGAUGGGGAUGAAAAUAUGGACUUUAUAAGUAAAAAUGAAUUUGAGAACAGCUUGGACCUGAAGCUGAAGGGGUUUCCUUGAUACUUUUCAUCUGGAUCCUGUAGUCCACCUGAGGGUAGUUGUGGGUCUUCAUGGUGGACUUUUAACCAGAUGCAUGAAAAAUUGUGGCCAGGAGAGAGGCCACACCUGAGAGGGAUGUUUACACAUGAGAAACAUAGACCAGUGGGUGUCAGCCUCUUGCCACCUCAACAAUUAUGCCAAUUUCUCCUACACACAAAUGAAGGAGAGAAGAGCUAAGUGUGAAAGGAAAGAUGGAACUCUGUCCUCCCCAUCUAAUCCGGGAUGGAAGCUGUCUGUUGCAGGGACCAGCAUGAGGUGGGGAGGAAGGAUGACCCCGGUGAUCUAGAAAAUGGGACUGAUGCUAUUUAGACGGCUGCCAUCACUGAGUCAGCGGGUGUGGGCUUCUUUAUGCACUUGCUAGAAAUGGGCCAUCAGGCCACUCCUAGUGUGCCCUGGAGCAACUUGUUCUUGUCUGCAAGUCCAGAUGCAGAACACCUAACUCCACUCCACUUCAUCCCCAAAUCCCAACCCGUCUUCACUCAUUUCCGACUGAACCAAGCCACCUGAGUGUCGUGAGUUCACCUGUGUGUUCUUGCCAUCUCCUGGGAUGGAGUCCCCACAGGUCAGAACACUUGAACUCAUUGUGUAGAACCAGAUUCUCUCCCACACUUUUCUCUCUCCUCUCAGAGGCCAAUUUGUUCUGCAGUCAAUUCUGCAGAAGUUAGAAAUAAAGCAUGGUGACCAAUCAGAGAUGAGAGAGGGUGUGGUUGGGCUGAGAGUCACUUUUCAGAGCUUAUGAAAAGCUGCAAACCCGGUGGAUGGCUUACACUCUUUCCUCAAGGGCAACACACUGAGUGAGAGGGUGCUGGAGGGGGAUGCUGGGGAAAGCGAGCUUGUAUUCAAGGAGGCCUGUGGUGUCAUUAUUUACAGUGUCACACCUGAUCCUCCCAACGACCCCAUCUCUAGGCUCUGGAAGUUAGUGGUUAAGAGCACAUCUCUCAGGCUUGUUCACAUACAGUUGUGUGACCUUGGGCAAGUCUCUGUGCCUCAGUUUACUCAUCUGUAGAAUGUUGGUAGAGGAGGAUAUUAAGAGUAACUACCACAUAGUGGUGCUGGGAGGAUAAAAUGAUUUAAUAGAUGUGAUGGGCAGCUGUGGGGAUGGCUCCCAGUGAUCCCUGUCUCCAGGUAUCCAUGCCCUUGCUUGUAAGGAAGAGAAUAUGGCAAAGUUGAUAGGCUGUCUCUUCCAAGAUCAGGUUACAAGAGACUGUGAACUCCCUCUUGCUUACUUUCUCUUACUCUCUUUCUUACUCCAGUGGAAACCAACAGCGUGUUACGAGCUGCCCAGUGGAGAAACCCACACUACAAGAAACUGUGGAUGGCCUCCUCUGGUCAAUAGCCAGCUAGGAAUAAGGCCUUCAUCCAAUAGCCCAUGAGGAACUGAAUCCUGCCAAAAACCACACACGUGAGCUUAGAAGCAGAUCUUUCCCCAGUAGAGCCUUGAAAUGACUGCUGCCCCCACCUGACACCUUAACUGUGGUCUGUGUGAGACUCUGAAACAGGGGGCCCAGCUAAGCCAAGCCCAUAUUCCUGACCCACAGACGCUUUGAGAUAAUAUUGAAUAAAUUCUUGUGGUGUUAAGCCACUGAGUUUUAGGGUAAUUUGUUAGACAGCGAUAGAUAACGAAGACAAUACAUUAACAAUUCUUAAGAUACCCAGUGGAUAGUAAACCUUCAAUAGAUAUUGACUGUCUUUAUUAUUAAUAUCUCAGUUUCACAGAUGAGACAAAUGAGGCUCAGAGUGACUUCCCAGAGUUCGACAGUUAAUAUGCAGUAGAGUAGGGGCUCUGCCUUUGUUCUAUCUGACUUCAAAGUCAGUGCUCUCAAAGCAUCACUAUUUGGAAGACUCAGCUCCUUGAGGUGCCUAAGCAGGAUUUGUAGAAAAACAGAGGGCAGAUUUCCAUGGGCUGCCUUAGAUAGGUGAAUGACCCCUUAAGGCUGUAGAGGGCCAGGCCUAGGGCUGGGGAGAGCCAUGGCCAGCUCUUCAGGGAGUCUACAUGGGUAGGAGGACUAGCUCCUGCACCCAAACUUCACUAGGGGCUAGGUCUUCCAGCACAUGGGAGAACCAACGCAUGGCUGAGUCUGCUCCUAGAGUUUGUAAGAUGCUGUGUACUGAGAAAUGGAGCUCUGGUCUCUCCUCGCCCUCUGCUAUAGUUUCAAUGUGUUCCCCAAAAAGCAUGUGUUGGAAACUUAAUCCCCAAUGCAACAGUGUUGGGAAGUAGGGCCUAAUGGGAGGUGUUUAGGGCAUGAGGUCUCUGUCCUCAUGAAUGGAUUAAUGCCGAUUAUAAAAGGUCUUGAGCAUGUGAGUUCAUUCUCUUGCUCUCUCACAAUGCUGUCUUGCCCUUCCACCGUGAGCCAUGGGAUGAUGUAGGAAUCAUCCCAUGAUUGGUGGCACCUUCAUAUUAGACUAUGUUGGACUUCGCAGCCUCCAGAACUGUGAUAAACAAAUACCUUAUAAGUUACGACACCUCUGAUAUUGUGUUAUAGCAACACAAAACAGACUGAGACUCUUUCUCUCAUUCCCUCUGGGAGCUCAUGAACUAGGAGCCUGAGAUAAGCCCCAUUCAGAGGAGUCUCAUCUGAGCAAAGGCCGUUUUCGUUGCUAUCCUAUCAUGCUAUAGACAGCAAUGAUGAAUCAACUUAGCUGAUCGGAGGGCAGUCAGCACCAUCAGAAACAACAUGUCCUCUUAGCACAGUAACUGCUGGGAACAUCUACAAGAUUCCUCAGGGUGUAUGGGCAACAGACACAGGGAGCGUGCAGAGAGGCAGGUGGCACAGCCCCUGAUAUCUGCGGUGGUGAGACGCACAAUGGGAGCAGAUUCAAGCUUCACCACACAGACACUCAAAGAAUCAACGGAUACACGGAGACACCCAGGCACCUGCAUUAAUACCCAUAUACUCCCAGACACAUGGCCACACUCAUAGACACACCUACAGAAUGACACACUCAGACAUUCAGUGUGAAAGACACAAAUGCUCAGAUAAAUGCCCAGGUGGUAGGGAGGAACAUUAAAAUCCCACAACUCAUGUUUCCAGGGAGGGGAAGUCUUUUCCAUUGCACCAUGCAGGAGGGAAAAGUAUUGAAGGAACACUUCUUGCCCUUGUCCAUCCCCUCACCCAUUUCUCCCCAGAGGAGAGUUGGUGAGUUUGGGGGAGGAACAGAGCAUGCUCAGUCUAGUCUCCCCUAGGGCUUCUCUGUCUUUUACCCUGCCUGCCUGCAGAGGGGAAACAACAUUCUCAUCAGUCCUCUGGUACUGGGUGGCCUCUCAGGGUCGGCUUGGCCCCUCUGGGGAGUUGCCUGGUGUGACCAGUGCCGAUGGACACGUCUAUCUAAUUCAUUGGGGAAGAAUUUGCAGACCCUUUGGCUACAUAUCCAAAGCCACAUUCUUUACUUGACUGUACCCAGUAAUAGAGCUGACAUUCUGAUCUUCACCUCUAUCUCUGAGGCCUUAUUUCUCAGUUGGUGUCAAACUUGCGAUUCCCCGGUUCCAACACCAAAUAUUCCCACUUAGAGGAAAAACAGAAACAUGGACAAAUGUUCAAAGACACAGCAGAGAAACAUAGAUGAGAUGGUACAUUUGCUCUCCUGAGUGGAGGGAGGAUGGUUAGAAGAGCAGUUCAUGAGUCUGGCUGGGUGUUAGAAUCACCUGGGAAGAAUUACAAAUAGGUACUCAUGUCUGGGUCCUACUCCAGACAAACUGAUUCAGAAUCUACUGGGUCAGGGCCUGGGCAGUGGUCAAUUUUAAAGCUCCCCAGGUGAUUCUAACAGGCAGCUUCCCCACUCCCCAGCACUCCAUGAGGAGCAAAAGAGUGUUGGUGACUGGGGGCCUAACCCAUCGGUCACAGACCUCCCUCAGACGUCACUUGCUUCCAGCUAUAGCUCCAAAUUUCUCUCCUAUGGACAUUCUGGGGAUUCUGGUAGCAGCUGAGGGCUGUGCACUAAGCAGGCAAUUGCCUUUGGCUGCUGCUCUUCUGACUCUUCUAACUCUUCUGGUGGACCAUGGGGGCUGUCUCACCACUCUUCAAGCAGAAGUCCCUCACUCCUGCCUUGGAUCCCCAACACGUACGGAUGCUUAGGUCGACAUGGUAUUUUUCCUCUUGCUUUCAGUCUAGCUUCCUGUUGCAUCUCUGCUUGGUUGGCCCCUGGCAGAGCAGGUGCACAGGACACCGAGUGGAGAACUGGCCCCAGUGACAGUGGCUCGGCACAUGCUCUUCAUCCCAUAGCCAAAGGCACUUUCUUUGUGAUGCAUGGAGGCCAAACUCUUCUGCCAGCAACAGAGAAGCAAGGCCAGGCUGAUGGCUGCAAAAUGAGAGCGUGGUGUAAAGAUGGGAGCAGAGGUGGCGUGUACCCAUCCAGUGGCCUUGAUGCUUCUGUGAAUAUGGAGGGGCAGAUUCCUGGCUCUUGGACUUGACUGGUGCACCCUUUGGUCUCUAUCUCUGGUGGCUCAUCUCCUUGGCCUUGGUAGCUCCAUGACUUUCUGGAAUCAUAAACUCAACCUGGUUCAGAAUUGGCCACUUCUGGGCCAGUGCCUGACCCACCUAUGCUGCGACUUAGCACAGUCAUUGCCACUGGAACUUCCUCCCAUCAGUGUUCAGUGCUCAGAGGAGACAACCAGCUGUGGGAGCUCUAAGAGGGGCUGGGGCAAAGUUCCAUCCAAUAAUCCUGUGGAAUUUCUCUCUGGACAGCUGUGGACAGAUGUGAGGGUAGUGACUGUUGAUGCAUAUCUGUCCCCUGGAGUAAGAGCCUCAGGGGCUUUGCUCAGCUCUUGCCAGCUGGGAAGAGAGCAGAGCCCAGCCACAUCCUUGAAAGGAAUAGCAGAUGUAAUGGCCAGAGGAAGCCGUGUGCAGGGACGCAUCUGGAGAGUUCAGAGGACUCAUUAGAGCAUCAUCUUGCUCUGAUAAGCUGUUAGUUAAAAGUUCACCUGGAGGGGCUUUUAUUGCACCCCACUGAGAAUUCCUACCUCCUGCUAGGAGUGCAUAUUGGGAAGGAAGAAUUUUAUAGAUGGUAUAAAUGGCUAAAUGUCUGAGUGUUAGUUAUUCGAGCCUCACGUAAUUGUGCUCUUUGGACCUAUAGAAACCCAACCCUUUGUUGACUGUGUGGCAAUCAAAGGAAUAAUGUUAGUGCAGAAUUAGGGGCUAACCAUUGUAAUCAUAAUAACUGUAAUAAGAAUAGUAGCAGUAAUUUAUGGAGCUUCUAUAUGGUAGGCACUCUGCUUAGCACCUGCAGUGGGCUGAAUAAUACUCCCCCUAAAAUAUGAACCUGUGAAUGUUACCCUAUGUGGCAAAAGGGACUUUGCAGAUGCAAUUAGGUUAAGGAUUUUGAAAUGAGGAGAUUAUCCUAGAUUAUCUGGGUGGGCCCUAAAAGAAAUCACAAGUGUCCAUAUUAGAGGAAGGCAGAGGGAGAUUUAGCAUAGAGGGGAAAAGGAAAUAUGACAAUGGAAGCAGAGAGUGGAGGGAUGUAGCUAACUGCCAAGGAAUGCCACAGCCACCAGUAACUGGAAGAGGAAAGGAGUGGAUUCUUCCCUGAAGCUUCCAGAAGGAACCAGCCUGCUGACACCUUGAUCUUAGCCCUGCAAGACUCAUUUCAGACUUCUGGCCUCCAAGACUGCAAGGGAAUAAAUUUCUGUUGCUUUAAGCUACUAAGUUUGGGGCAAUUAGCAACAGCAGCAAUAGGAAACCAAACACAUACAUACCUUGGCUCAUUGACUCCUCAUCCAUCCUGUGAAUUAGGCACUAUUAUGAUUUCCAUGUACACAUGAAGAAACUGUGGUUCAGAGGGGCCAAGUGGCUGCUUCAGGUCAACAGUGCUAGCUAGUGGAAGAGCAGAAAAUCAAACUCGGGUCUGUCUGUCUCUGGAUCUCAUGUCCUUCACCAUAAGGCUAUACGCCUUGCAACCACAACUCAGUAUUGGCCAUGAUGAAGAUGGCAAAGAAAUUGGGCAGCCUCUGCAAGAUUGGGCUAAGAAAUCAUGGAGUCAAAAUUGAGACUACUUCAUGGAGUGUCCUUGGGUACAGACACUGUCAUGAGAAAAGCCCCCUGAAGAGAAGGAGGAGACACAGCUACAGGUGUCACAAUCAAGAUGUUGCAGGGAGGGGAAGUGCAUGGAAGUUAGGUUCUGGGAUAGACAUGGUGGGAGCUCAACCAUGGGGAAAUAGAAGUAAUUGAGGUACCAAGAAGGAUGAGAACAAGGGUGGAGGUGCCGAUCCAGAAAUUGGUGGUGAACAUCAGAAUCUCUGUGGGCACCUCUGUAUGACUGAGCCAGUGUUAAAGGUGUUAUUUCCCAGAGAACCCAUGCUAGGAGGGGCUGGGGGUUGUGUGUGACUGCAGCCCCUCAAGUCAGAUGGGCACAGUGCUUCCCAUCCAGAGAGGGUAUUGCCCAGGUGCUGCCUGAGGGGUGAAUGAGGCAGAACACCAGGUCUAAGACCUUGGUAUGGGGUAGAGCUGACAAGGGCCAGUGGGGUGUUAGGGCCUCCUUUAAGUGUCAUGGGUUUGGGGACAGGGCUCUGGUCCCAAGAAGACAGGUGCUGGUUCAGGAAACCAAAGCAGAACUCAGUUACUUGGGUUGAACCCACUCUACAGAGGCUGGGAAAAUGUGUGCUUCACUGGGCAUGCAGAUGGCUAGGCCUGUCCCAGGCCUCCAGACUCCUCCUGUGCUGGGCUAAACUCAGCAGCAAGCUUGGCCUGCAAGUGAGGGGCUGGGGCUGGGCUUCCUCGUGGGUUCCCAGCUGUGCUCAGCACCAACUCAGAGGAGGAUGCUGCAAUUGAGUGGUGCAGGAGGGUGGGGAGGAGAAGGCAGGCUGGCAGCAGAGUCCCCUCAGAUGGAACUCCCCCAGGCAUGACCAUUCAGGAAGAUCUGGGGCACUGGUUCUCAAAGUAUGGUCCCAGACCAGCAGCAUCAGCAUCACUUGGGAAUUCGUCACAAAUGCAAAUUCCUGGGCCCCACUCCACACGCACUGAAUCAGAAACUCAGACGGAGGUCCAUCCAUUUGUGUUCUAAUAAACCCUCUAGGUGAUUCUGCUACCUGAUGAAGUUUAAGAACCUAGACCCUCACCUAGGAGAUCAUGGGGUUGCCUGGGAAGAUUGGGGUCAUGGACUAAUCCUUUGUAUUUUCUUCCUCCCCACCCAUGCCACGCCAGUGGCAGAUUUUCCAAAGAUGUUCACAGCUGUAUCCAAUGCAAUCUUGUGCACAAAAGGAGGCUUUUUAUUUUUCUGCUUUCAGGGAUGUGAAUUUCUAUCAGCAGAUGAGUAUCUCCUUUCACUGGGGCUUCUGAAUUAUACAGGACCGUGGGAGGAGUUCAGGGAAUCAGAUAUAUUAACUAGACCUUGAAAUAUUUUUUUUCCAAAUGGAUGCAUAGUCUUUAUUUAAGUAGAAAGCAUUUCUGGCUAAAUUUGGUGGCUCAUUUGUAGGAAAACCAGCAAAAACCUGACUUCUGGGAGUCUCUAUGAUUUAAGCCAUGUUAAUAUUAGCUGCUGGUUGAAUCACAGGGAGAAAAUCGACAGAUUCAUUCUCUUGGGGGCAGGGAGGAGAGGGAGCUCCCAGCUGAGCCAAGAAUCUGCCAGUGCUGCGUCUGGCUGAUUAAUGGCAUUAGACUUCGGUGCCCUCUUUAGCGGUCCAGCCAGUGACCUUAGGGAACCCCCGCAGCAUUGGGCUUGUUUACGUGAAGCAGCUCUGCGGGUUGGGGACAGGAUGUAGGGGCAUCAGGGAGGAGACCGAGGCAAAAGAAACCACCUCCAUCUUCCCUCCCCUGCGGAGCCGCCGGCCUGCAGUCUUGUGCGCCAUGAAAAAAUGAUGACUUGACUUCAUUAAAGCCUUGUCAUCUUUCCCCUACUGACAGCUUGAAAAGAGCACUCUCGCCUGAGCAGAACGGGAUUCCAGAGGCCCAGGGGGCACAGAAAUCACAGACUGAACUUUCGGGAAGAAAAAUCCUUCUCUUCUUGUUAAGCAAAUAACUGAAUAUGAAAAUGAAGGAGGGUGGGGAGGAAAUUUCAUUUCAGUUUCAGUGGUGCGGGGGCCUGUACAGCAGAGGAGAAGGACUUAGGUAUGUCCCGCCUAAGGGGAUGCGGUGCCGUCAGGCCCCUCCCCUGCCAUCCUGGCUUCCUGAAGCUUGACCCAGUCUUGCUGUUUUGAUCUGAUUUCCCUCCAGCCCUUGUGGUUCAAGUUAUUGAUAUCCACUGAGCAUCUAAAAGGCCCCAUGGUGGGCACAGCCUCAUGUCAUCCCCCUAAUGCCCUCUUUGAAGGUGGUAUCAUUACCCUCAUUUUACAGAAACAGAGGCUGAGAGAAGGGAAAGGGGUAAUUUGUUCAAGGUGACACAGUAAUGGGACCAUAUCUGGAGUUCAGGCUUGUCUGACUACUGUGGGUCUUCAGGUGAUUGAGAAACAAGGAAAGUCAGGGAGGACGGAGAGCUUCGGUCUUGGACAGAAACCUAGAGAGAUUCAAUGCCCUGUUGACAGCCACUCAGCUCAUGAGUGGGGAGACCAGAAGAGACCCCAGAUCUUCGGCUCAUGGCCUGAUGAUAUUCUCAUGUAUUUAUUUAUUCAGCAACUUUAAAAAAUAUUUUAGAAAUCUUGACUUUUAUAAGUGUUUUAAAACAAUGUACAUGGUUAAAAACAAGUCAGAUAAUAUAAAAAAGUUUGUAAUGAAAAAGAGCAGUCCCUGGCCUAAUCAUUUUAAACUCUUUUAGGGUGUUUUUCCUGGCAUUAACUUUAAUUCUGUAUCUCUAGGUUUAUGCCUAUACAGGACUUCUAUUUCUUGAUUUAUGGGAGGGAGAAUUUCACUGUCCCCCCACACCCUACUUCACCCCAACCCCAGCAUCCUAAUAUAGUCCUAUUAUUGUUUUUACUAAAAUAAGUGAUUAGUGUUUACUCUAUUUCCUUUCUUGAACAGAUUUUGAUUUUCUUUAGAGUUAAUGGUUGCCUAUUUCACUUGCUUAUUUUUUUUCCACAUAUAUGUCUUUAAAGUUUUCAAAAUUAAUCAGGUUAUAAUCUACCUAUUAUUAUUUUUUACAAAAAUUCCAUCAUAUCACAUAUUUUAUCAUUCCCCCAUGUAAAAAAUUGCUGGAGCUCUUCAUUGUAAAGAAUUUCUUCCUCUUAUUUUCGGUUGAACCAGUUAAUCUAUAGGCCUUCUGCACAGUUAUCCUCCAUGGACUUCCUUUGCCCUUAUCCUGGAUUGGAUCCACCAUUUCUUGAUCCUUUGUCUUCCUCCUUCUUAGAUUCCUCCCUAACUUUGCUGGAGCACAUCCUUCAGCAGUUUAUAAAGAAAGCGUGCAUAAAAGUUAUUUUUUUUCUGAGUCUUUUAUGUCUUCAAAUAUUAUCCUCACACAAUUUCUAAUGUGGCUGAAUGUAAAAUUUAAGGCUGAAAAUAAUAUUUUAUUUAAAAAUGUGAUGGCAUCUAGCGUCCAGUUUUUUUCUUGGGAAGUUAAAUGCUAUUCUGAUUAUUAUUUUGCAUAUAGUUUUUUUCUCUUUGGAAUCUUUUGGGAUCUAUUCUUUCUUCCUGGUGUUCUGAAAUUUUAUAUAAGCCCUAAAGUAGAAGAUGCAGCCUAGUUCCAGGAAAUAUUAUUCAUAUCAAAUCAGAUUUUUGGCAAUUUCUUCCUCUCCCUUUUUCUCUGUUCUCAUUUUAUAUUUCUCCCAUUAGUCAGAUAUUGAAUUGCUGGAUUGGUUAUCUAAAAGGUCUUAUGUAUUCUUUAAUAUUUUCCAUCACUAUCUUUUUCUUCUGCUUUCUAAUAGAUUUUAUUAUCUUUACUAUCUAUAUCUUUUAUUGAAGUGUUUUGUUUUUUCUCCUGUUCUUAAUUUCUAAUAGUACUUUCCUGUCUCCUUACUGUUGCUUCUUUUAUAAACCCUAUUCUUUAAUGCAUCAAUAUCUUCUCC